UUUUAUGGAGAGUUUGAUCCUGGCUCAGGAUGAACGCUGGCGGCGUGCCUAAUACAUGCAAGUCGAGCGAACGGACGAGAAGCUUGCUUCUCUGAUGUUAGCGGCGGACGGGUGAGUAACACGUGGAUAACCUACCUAUAAGACUGGGAUAACUUCUGGAAACCGGAGCUAAUACCGGAUAAUAUUUUGAACCGCAUGGUUCAAAAGUGAAAGACGGUCUUGCUGUCACUUAUAGAUGGAUCCGCGCUGCAUUAGCUAGUUGGUAAGGUAACGGCUUACCAAGGCAACGAUGCAUAGCCGACCUGAGAGGGUGAUCGGCCACACUGGAACUGAGACACGGUCCAGACUCCUACGGGAGGCAGCAGUAGGGAAUCUUCCGCAAUGGGCGAAAGCCUGACGGAGCAACGCCGCGUGAGUGAUGAAGGUCUUCGGAUCGUAAAACUCUGUUAUUAGGGAAGAACAUAUGUGUAAGUAACUGUGCACAUCUUGACGGUACCUAAUCAGAAAGCCACGGCUAACUACGUGCCAGCAGCCGCGGUAAUACGU
rnacentral:rRNA from 1 species